rnacentral:lncRNA from 1 species
GUGAUUACGGGCAUUCCUUAAGCUAGAAUUCUGUUGAGACAUGGGCAGGGAAAUAUUCAGACAUUCUGAAUGGAUGCAUGGCCAAUUUUUUCAUUCCAGAAAUACAGAAAAGGAGUAAGUCUUGGUACUUAGUAAUCCUUUGUAUUUUUGUAGAUUUUGACUAAGUCCAUAAAUUCUAGAACACAGUUAACUGUGGCGCAGGUAGUUCUCAAGCAAGAAAAAAGAGUUUUGUUCCGUACCUUAACUUUGCUACUAGCUUAAGAAAAUUAUAUGUCAGAUUAAAAUCAAAAUUCUGACAUACCGGGACUGGGACUCCAGCGAUAUCAGCAGGACAACAUCAAAAUAUAGUGCCUUUUUUACCUAACAAUAGAGAACACCUUAGUGAAACUUCAUUCUAUUGUUUCAUCAGGAUGCUCAGAUUGCAGAUAUACUGUCAACAGCUGGGACUGUGGUCACCAUCACAAUCAUGCCUGCCUUUAUCUUCGAACAUAUUAUUAAACGGAUGGCUCCCAGCAUUAUGAAAAGCCUGAUGGAUCACACCAUUCCUGAAGUUUAAACCUUGUACAGUGCAUCACCGCCGAACGCUUCCAGUCUUCCUCUUCGGCAACUUCUCUAUUUCACCGCACAUGAAGCUUUCCCGGAUCCAGGGAGACUGUGCUGCAUGGAGACCUGUCUAUCUUCCACCAUGGCUGGGAACCUCACUCUAUCUGAGAGCGUCUUCAGAUUUUAAGAUAGGUGUAGCCUUAUCCUGGUUUUACAGAUGUGAAACUCUCAAAAGAUUCCCUGACUUUCUAGACUUGGUUCUUUACUGGGAACCUGAUGUUUUUCUAUAAGCCAUUGUGAUUAGGAUGACUGGUGUAGGCUUAGCUGUGUCCGAGAACUGGUCUGCUUUCUCCGAGAAGUGCACAGUGCUAGGCACGUGCUUCAGUUCUGUGGCAUAUGUGGAUUGUAGUACAUCAGCAUAGUACCUGUAGGAUGAUUGCCUUUGAUCGCUACUUUUUAAGUUUGUGUGUGAGUGU